GGUUGCCCGAGACCCCAGAGAAAGAUGGCCCCUAAAAUGCGGAGCUGAGACCCAGAGAGAUGUGGACAAGGGACCGUACAGCUGCCAGAUCAGUAAAGACGCUCAAUACCUGCAACGGAACUCCAGCUGCCGUGAACUAUCCUUUGUCUCCUGGCUGAGAAUUUGCUGUUUCCAAUUAGUUAUUAUCAAGGCAUUGAGGAGAUGCUGUGAUGCUAGUGCACAAACCUUUCACCUCUGAAUCUAGCCGUAAGCCACAAAUGAAUAUGGAUUUUCAGAGAUUGCUACUACAAGGUGCAGAGGGAGACCAAUUCGGGGCAAGAAGCUCGUUCCUGUUGCUAAGAAGAGCUUGAAUGAUAGAAUUAUUGUGUGCUGUAUCCUGGUUGUUUAGAGAUCUUCAUUUCUAAUAAAAAUAAUAGCCAAUAUUUAGUGAUUCACAUGUUCAAGACUCCUCUUGCAAACAUUAACUAAGAACAAUUGCAAAAAAUUGUCUGCAGCAUGAUUUUCAAGAUUCAAAGAUAUGAUUAAUUACAUGAUGUGUGUAUUCCUAAAAUAAAUAACUGAGUUCACAGUUGGUCUGCUCCCAGUGCAAUUAUU